rnacentral:lncRNA from 1 species
CACACACACACACACACACACACACACACAACCGGAGCGAAGCGUCGCUUUGAACCAGCACCCACGGAACAAAAACAAAACGAGACUCGGGGCCGUUCAGAGACGAUCUGUAUCAUAGUUCCUGAUCUCACCCCCUUUUUUUCAAUCAUCGACGACUUUGUGCUUUGAACUUGGAAAAAUUCCUUCAAAAAAAACAAAAAACUAAACUAAACAAAACUGAACAAUGACUGAAACGCUCCAGAGAGAGAGAAGCACACACGACCCCCCUCCUUCACACCAGUCACAUCUUUUACCCGCUGAGAGGGAGAUGAUGUGGAGUCGAGUGAAGCAUCGUUUGACAGAGCAAAUGGACUUCCUUCCAGCAACCUUGCUAUGAUCUCAGCAAUUCAUUAGGUUUCCAGUGCGGACUUACAAUUUCUUAAAA